AGGAACUGGAAAUUAGAACAGUGUUUGGGCCAAAUAGAUGGGGGUGAGCAGGGGAGGAAAGGUCUUGAGGGAGCAGCACGCUUGCCUGAUGGGUGCCCAAAGCCAGGGGCAGGUGGAGGUGAGAGAAGGACAAGCUCUGCAAACGUUGCGGAAGCGCUCUGUCCAUGGAGAAGGCACAGGACUUCCAUGUGGGGAGCAGCUUACUCCUGCUGAGAACUUUGGGGAGACAGAGUGGAGCAGCCAUCUCAGACCUGAGCGGCUAAGGAGCUGGGUCCCCCUCUGUCGCACUGUGCAGAGCUGCUGGACUUUGCAGUAAGCAGCCUUCAGGUCUAAAGCGGAGGCGGCCCCCACGGCUGCGACUGCGGCACCGGAAGGCUGCAGCGAGAGAUUUACAUAUUCAUCCGAGCUUAAGGAAGCCGCGAUAAUGCAGGUACAGCCCGAAACCCACGCCCCCAGACCUUAUCUGCGCGCCCCGCCGGCCCGCGGCUGCUUCUGCAUGCGCCGCGCAGUGACUUGCAAAUGAAACCCGCAGACCGCUGUCUGGAUAACCUUGAACGCCACCGAGACAGGAGGCGAGGCGGCCUUCCAACUUCUCCUUUCCCAGAAAUCAAAAAGUAUUGAGAAAGGCUAGGAUCUCCCUCUCCAAACGGGAGAAACAGCUCUGGCCUCCUUGGAGGUCCUGAGCAAGACAGGCUGGUCCCUGAACCCAGCUUACUUUUCCACCAGCCUUAAGAACCAGGACACCAGAGUGGCAGGUCCUGAAAUGACGCGGGGGACUGGAGGUGGUGGUCUUCUGGGGACAGAAAAGGGCUGUGGAGUCAUAUAGCCCUGGCUUCCAAAACAGAGUCCGCACAUACAUGCCAUGGACCUUCGCAUAGAUUGAUUUAAUUUCUUGGUUACAUUAAUGGAGAAAUGUGCCCAGAUAUUAAAGAUAUCAACUCAAAGAGUCAUUGGCAGGCUUAGAAAUUAUCUAUGAAAAGCACCUAUCACAGAAAUGGGUAUAUAGUAAGGGCUGGGAUGACAUUAUCAACAAUUAUUAUUAUUUUACUCAGUUAUCUUCUGGGGUGACCAUUCCCCUCUCCUCAACUGCACCCCCUUUGAUCUUUCUACCCUUGCAUCUGUAGUGGGUUUGAGGGACAGGACCUCCUGCUCCCACCCUGCCUACUGCCACAGUCUUAGUCUAACAGAAUCUGCUGCCCCCUGCCUGAAGAUCUGCCACUUCCUUUACAAGAAGACAGGACAUCCUGGAAAGAAAUGCAAGCCAGGUUGAAAGGUUAAUAGCUCCCAUUCCCCAAGGUGCUGACCACUCCCUGCUUCCCCUAGGGAGAUACCUCCAUCCUCAGCCGGAGACAGCACGCCUCCAGCCUCCUCUCGAAUCAGGGCUUGCAGGGGCACAAAGCUGCUGCCAUUCUCUGGUACUGGGGAGCGUCCACGUCAAGCCAGCAGAGGACACGUUGCACCUGCACAGGUGCAUGAGAGAUGCUCCUUCCAUCCCAGAGCCAUCCUACACUGGCCUGCACACCCUCGUCAGCAUCCACUGCGUUGUAUGCAUGUACACAUGCUGUACACACGGGAUGCUGGCUCACUGUGUGGCUGACCUCCACAUUGCAGCCCAGAAAACCUCGCAGCCCAGAAAACCCCACCUCCCUUCAUUGGCCCAUCAGCAAUGUUGGAACUGGACUUCCAUGACGAACUCUAUGCAUAGAACGGUGCACAGUCGAAGGGUUCUCCCCCGGAAUGGUGAUGCCAACCAGUGAACAUCGUCCACCACCUCCUGGUAAUGCUGAGUAUCGGCCAAUGUCAAACAUUCACUGGGACAGCCGCAGAUCCUGGCUCAAGUGAGGAAGAGAAAUACCUCCCUAUCCUUCUCCCUGGUGCUAGGGUGAGAGAAACUCAUUUCAUCACUGCUAAGCCUGGGACAGGAAUCACUCAGGGAUACAAUAAAAUCCCCACCCUGCAGGUAUAUCUGAACCAAAUGAAGUAUAUACACCCAUACAUAUCAAAUCACAUGUAAGCAUGUGCACAUGUAUAGGCUGGACUAUGUGUAAAUGUGCACAUUGCCCACGUGUGUUAAGCCAUAUGCAAGGAUUUACAUGUGUGUGUUCUACCACAGGUAAGUGUGCUUGUGUGUGUUAAGUUGCAUGUGAGUGCACAUGUGUGUUGAUCCACAUGUGAGUGUAUGCACACGUGUAUAUUAAACCACAUGUUGGUGUGUGCAUUGCACAUGUACAUGUGUAUUGAGCUACAUGUAAGUGUGUGCAUACAUGUAUGUUGACUCACACAGAAGCAUUGCAGGCGCAUAUGUGUAUAUCGAACCACACGUAAAUGUAUGCACACAUCAUGUUGGUCUGUGACAGUCUGUGCAAAAAAUGACAUCCAGAGAUAAUGGCAGGAAAUAAACACAGUGACUGUUUAACAAAGAAAAAAAAGAAAGAAAGAAAUCCUGUUAAAAACACCCUAUAUUAAAAUUUGUAAUUAAAACAUUCAUCCCACAAAUGUUUAUGAAGGACCUAAUUUUUUUUUCUUUUUAGAGACAGGGUAUCACUAUGUUGCACAAACUGUUUUCAAACUCCUGGACUCAGGUGAUCCUCUGGCUUUGGCCUUCUAAAGUGCUGGGAUUACAGGCAUGAGCCACCAUGCCCAGCUGGACCUAAUAUAUUUCAGGGAAAUGUCCAGUCAGGAGGCCAAAGGGCUGAGUUAUGGGGAGUGGACCAGCCAGAGUUUUCACAUAGUUCAUUGAACCUAAGACACAGUUUUAGCCUAUGAAAUAAAGUACGCUGUAAUAAAUUCAGGAAAUCCCAAGUCAAGUUCUUUCCUUCUGGCCUGCGACUUAGUAAUCAACAUGGUUAUUCCCUGCUACUUAAGGAAAACCCAUGGUUCUGAAGGACAGUGGUAGUAUAUAGGUAAAAUCUUCCAGAAAACAAGUGUGUUGGUUUUUUUGUUUUUGUUUUUUGAGACAGGGUCUCGCUCUGUCACCCAGGCUGGAGUGCAAUGGUGCAGUCAUAGCUCACUGAAGCCUCGAACUCCUGGGCUCCAACUAUCCUCCCACCUCAGCCUCCCAAGUAGCUAGAACUACAGGUGUGCACCACCAGGCAUGGCUGGUUUUUUAAAUAUUUUUUGUACAGACAGUCUUGCUGUGUUACCCAGGCUGGUCUCAAACUCUUGAUCUAAUGCAAUCCUCCUGCCUCAGCCUCCCAAACUGCUAGGAUUAUAGGCAUGAGCCACUGUGCCUGGCUGUGGUUUUUUUUAAGUGCAUAGAUUUUUUUUCUAAGUGGAAUGUUGUAAUAAGUUGGCCUUUGCCAGGAAAUCUAUCUUGAUGUCAUAUUUUCCACGCAGGCCCAGGGUACCUUGUCAGUAGAUCUCUAAUUUCCUGGAAGUCAAUUACCCAAUCAACUGAGCAGCAAAGACAGUGAUCUUGGGCAAGUUACUCACUGUGCUUCCAUUUCCUCACCUGUGAAACAGGGACAACACCAGGACAUGUCUUUUAGCAUUGUUGUAAGGAUGAAACCAGUCCAAAACUGACCCUGAUACAUGAUGAGCGCUCACUAAUGUUAGCUAUCAUUAAUCACCAUUGUCAUCACCAUAACUCAUCAUUGCCAGCAGACAUUUUAUUUUAUUAAGAAUGCUUUUUUAAAUUCAGUGCCAGUACUAAAACAUUAAAACAGUAGACAUAUAAAUUUAGAAUCCUAGUUUUUGUUUAAAAAUCCAAACCUCAGUGGGGCACAGUGGCUCAUGCCUGUAAUCCCAGCACUUUGGGAGGCCAAGGAGAGAGGAUCACUUGUGUCCAAGAGUUCAAGACCA
rnacentral:lncRNA from 10 species